UCCAUUUAUUUAAAUUGUUCCAGGAGUACAGUAGCAUGGUUUGUAGAGGACAUAUGAAAUGUGGGUUCCUUCCCAGAAAAUGUCUUAAGACUUUGUCAUAUAUGAUGAAAUUUGAUAGUUUUGUACUUCCCAAACACACACUUGACCUAUGCUUUCACAAUGAAAUGACACAUCAUUCCCACCCAUAUUCCUAAGAACGAUUCCUCCAUUUACGGUAUGUCAUUAACAAAGUCCCAAGCAGGCCAAAGCAUGGACAGAGUGGCUUUAUACGUCAAAUUAAAUGGCUUAUUCACCAAUAAAUACAAGAAUAAAAAAACAAACACUUGAUAAUUAUUCUCAUUAUCACAAACAUUUUAAUUUUAUUGAUCAUAAAAGAUAGCAAAGGCACUCCACUUAAACUACCUUGGCAGUCCAUGUUCACCAGUUGAUACCAAAAAAAUCAUAACCUUGGCAAUAGCCAAUGAAAUAAUGAGCCAUAACAAAAUAAUAAUUAAAUAACAAUAAUACUAUUAUUAUUAUUAUUAUUGUCUUAAUAACAAUAUCCAGUCAAGUUUUCCUAUGAUCAGAGUUUCUGCUACUAACUAACGGAUAUGCAUCAGUUAUUUCCAGUUUGGCAGAUUGAGAGAUUAAUCAGAUUCUUUCCAUUGUUUUCUCCUGAUGUCAUUCCUUAGUUUAGGACAUCCCCUUUUUGGUAGUGAUGGACUCAGACUACGACUUCUACGGUCAAACCAGGAGUUUAUCCCUGUGUUGCUGAUGUGUCAGUAUUUUAGAGAAAGAUGUCUCAUAAUGAAAAGCCAAGGAUCUUCCCUUUGGAUUGUGUCAAUUGGCAUCUCUUUCUUUGAAAGGGGUCUGGUUUAAAAUCAAGGCCAUGACCUCUGAGGUUCACUAGGCUGUAUUAAUCAGUUCACAGGGACAAACUAUCUGACUGCACCAUGGCUGAACCUAGGUCAGUUGCUCUGACUCCUCAGGUGUACCAAACCAGAGGAAGCACUCAGAUUCCACUGACUUCAGAUCAGACCUCUCAUCUCUUAGAACCAAACUCAGGGAAGAAAUACUUUCUGCCAUAACAUAAAGCAAUAUAAAGUUUCUAUAUUUUGGAGAAUCAAAAACAGAAGCGUAAUAAACAAAAUACUAACAUAG
ensembl:lncRNA